rnacentral:lncRNA from 1 species
UGGAAGAAGGGGUAGAACAGUAUCAAAAAUGCUUCACUCCCAGGAAUGUGGUGAACAUAAAAUUAAAUAAUGAAAAAAGGUCAACUAUAAAGCACUAAAUAAAUGUAAGAUGGUGAAUCUGACAGAGGAAGAAUUAAAUGACUUGUUCAAGGUCACCUUUGAGGAAUUUGCAGGAAGUUUAACUUAUGUAUAUUUUUUCCCCUGUAGUACCCCAGAUGGAGUCUCACUCUGUUGCCCAGGCUGGAGUGCAGUGGCACCAUCUCGGCUCACUGCAACCUCCGCCUCCCAGGUUCAAGAGAUCCUCCUGCCUCAGCCCCACUAGUAGCUGGGAUUACAGGGAAAUCUAUUAUGGGACGGCCUGGAUAUGUCACUUUAAAAGUCCUGCCUUCAAUGAACAAAUGAGAAAAGAGAUGAGGUUUCACCAUGUUGCCCAAGCUGGUCUCUAACUUCUGGGCUCAGGCGGUCUGCCCUCCUUGGCCUCCCAAAGUGCUGAGAUUACAGACCAAGAAAUUGAGCUACAGUGAGGUCACACAGCCGAGAUCACACAGUGAAGAGUUGGGAUUUGAGCCUGGAAUACUCUGACCUCAGAGUCUGGAUGCUAGUCUCUUGCUGCCUCCCCUGUGUUAUGAGGUCAUGUCUAAAUCACCUCCAUUAUUGAAAAUGCUUGUGAAAGACCUAUUCUGCUGGAUAGAGCAAUCACCUGAGUCAAGUAUGAUCCAAAUGUUGCCAUUAGGUCCUACCCAACCCCAUCAAAGAUCAGAACCUGGAGGUGUGGUAACUCCCUCCAGUCCAA